rnacentral:lncRNA from 1 species
AACCAAAACAUUUUUGAUGAGUAACUGUUUUGUAGUGAUGAUAUUUACGUGUGAUGUGACGUUGAAACAAAGGUGAUAAAGGUGAUUGUAUGUAAACAUUAUGUCAUUCUCGACUUUGUUCAUGUCGAGUGUUCUUCAAUAAAGAUCCUGUUUGAUAACAGCUACCAGUGGUCUGUCUUCAUGCUGGUCGUUUGAAGUGAGUACGACAUAAAGUCGAGAAUCCAAAUUCUCACCCUCCUGCGGAGCAGCAGUGAAGUGACGAUGAGCGGAGGGGGCGGUCGGAGCCCGAAGGGGGCAGAGGGCCCCUUACCAGAUGUUCAUCUGGAGGAAGGGGAAACGCCACGGGCCAUCGCUUCCUCUACCGGCUACCCUAAACCUAAUGGAGUGACCCACAGAAUCCCUGGAGGAGGGAGAGGAAUUUCGGCAGUUACGGAGACCAGUUGGGGAUCCGGUGGGAAUAUGCCAGAAACCGUGGCACUACGGUUAUCUAUUCUGGAGACCAACCUAUCCCGACUAUCGGAGACUGUGGGAAGGUUGGUGCCGUUGCUGGAGGAGAAUCUCCAGAGGGAGUCGACCCAAUACGGCGCCGAAAGAGGACCGGGCGAGAGCGAAGCCUGGAGCCAAAGGGGCCAGCGCGCGUCAACGCAAAGCCCAACGGCAGUCGGCGGCGACGAGAGCGAGGAGUAUUGGCAGGAGCUGGAGUUCCGAGAAAGGAUGGAACAGGAAAUGGAUCGCCAGCGAGCCUUAAGAACCCUUAGACCACCAACCCCCCGGCUUGGCGUUGGAGUUGAAAUACCAUUAGGGCCAGAGGUCGGGUCCAGCGGGUUGGUGGGGGAGGACCGAGAAGAACCAGAUGCCCCUAAGGACGGGGAGGAUGCACCAUCCGACGACGAAAGGACGACAGGGGGCCUCGGAGGAGUCGGAGGAGCGACAGCGGCGCCUGCGUUCAGAUGGACGGAGGGGCCCACGGCAACAACGGGAGGCGGAUUGCUAGCAGCAUCGAGAGCGAGGAUAGCA